AUCUGGACCCAAGACAUACACGUGGGGAGAACACCACAGGACGACGGGCUGGUAGGACACAGAUGGGGCCGAGUCCCCAUCAGCACGACAGUAACACGGAGAGGGCUCCAGGUGACAGAGACCGGCAGAGAAAAGGAGAAAAAAAUGAGAAGGACCCCGGAAAGGAAAUAAAGAAACCGGACAACCUGCCUCAAAACUCUGAGCCGCAUUUACGCCCCGGGGCGGAAGACAGCGCGUCCCUGGGGAAAGGAGGCUGGGCGUG